CCUGGCUGCAGCGCCGCGUUGCAGCCGGCAGGGGGCGCCAGCGGGUCACUACAGAGCCCCCCGCCCCUUUCCGGGGUCCGAGGUGGCGCGGGGGCUCCGGCCGGCCGAGAUCAACCCGUCCCCAUGGAUCUCUUAACAGCCAAGAGGUUCAUACUUUAUAGGAAAGUACACAAGAAAAUAGAUUUCUGAAAGAUGUCCCUCCUGUGUACAAGAAGGAUGUCCCAGAUGCUCGGUGUGUUUUAGUUUCUGCUCCAGAAAGGCAAAUGUAUGCCAACACAGAGAUAAUCCUGGGAAACGUGCCCUACUGCUGGUUUUACCUAUGCAGCAUACAUGAUCUGCCUUUAUCCAUGGACUGAUCAACAGAUCUUUCAAUGCAUAUCCAGCUGAUGAGACACCGUCGAGGCUUUUGAGUCCUAUUUACUCUCUGAAAAUCCAUAGCUUUUUAAAAGAAAUAUUACAAUGCAUUGUGAAAAGUCUGUAACCCCC
rnacentral:lncRNA from 1 species